UACGUAGGGUGCAAGCGUUUGUCCGGAAUUAUUGGGCGUAAAGAGCUCGUAGGCGGCUUGUCACGUCGGAUGUGAAAGCCCGGGGCUUAACCCCGGGUCUGCAUUCGAUACGGGCUAGCUAGAGUGUGGUAGGGGAGAUCGGAAUUCCUGGUGUAGCGGUGAAAUGCGCAGAUAUCAGGAGGAACACCGGUGGCGAAGGCGGGUCUCUGGGCCGAUACUGACGCUGAGGAGCGAAAGCGUGGGGAGCGAACAGG
rnacentral:rRNA from 1 species